rnacentral:miRNA from 1 species
GACUGUAUUUAGGUGACAUCCAAAUAUGUGAGUGCACCAUUCUGUCAACCAUCCAACUGUUUCGGGUGACAAACAUCUGGUUGCUUGAGAAAAUUUUUUACUUAGUUUCUGGGUGUUUUGGAGUCACUUAACAGAC